GGAGAGGUGCCGGAAUUGGUGAACGGGGCGUCCUGCUAAGACGUUGCGACGAAAGUCGCGUGCGGGUUCGAGUCCCGCCCUCUCCGCCA
rnacentral:tRNA from 1 species